UGCCUAAUACAUGCAAGUCGAGCGGACAGAAGGGAGCUUGCUCCCGGAUGUUAGCGGCGGACGGGUGAGUAACACGUGGGUAACCUGCCUGUAAGACUGGGAUAACUCCGGGAAACCGGAGCUAAUACCGGAUAGUUCCUUGAACCGCAUGGUUCAAGGAUGAAAGACGGUUUCGGCUGUCACUUACAGAUGGACCCGCGGCGCAUUAGCUAGUUGGUGAGGUAACGGCUCACCAAGGCGACGAUGCGUAGCCGACCUGAGAGGGUGAUCGGCCACACUGGGACUGAGACACGGCCCAGACUCCUACGGGAGGCAGCAGUAGGGAAUCUUCCGCAAUGGACGAAAGUCUGACGGAGCAACGCCGCGUGAGUGAUGAAGGUUUUCGGAUCGUAAAGCUCUGUUGUUAGGGAAGAACAAGUGCAAGAGUAACUGCUUGCACCUUGACGGUACCUAACCAGAAAGCCACGGCUAACUACGUGCCAGCAGCCGCGGUAAUACGUAGGUGGCAAGCGUUGUCCGGAAUUAUUGGGCGUAAAGGGCUCGCAGGCGGUUUCUUAAGUCUGAUGUGAAAGCCCCCGGCUCAACCGGGGAGGGUCAUUGGAAACUGGGAAACUUGAGUGCAGAAGAGGAGAGUGGAAUUCCACGUGUAGCGGUGAAAUGCGUAGAGAUGUGGAGGAACACCAGUGGCGAAGGCGACUCUCUGGUCUGUAACUGACGCUGAGGAGCGAAAGCGUGGGGAGCGAACAGGAUUAGAUACCCU
rnacentral:rRNA from 1 species